GUCUACGGCUGUACCAUUGUGAACAUGCCUGAUCUCCUUGGAUCUCAAAAGCUAAGCGGGGUCGGGCCUGGUUAGUACUUGGAUGGGAGAAGUCCUGAAUUAGGUGAUCCUUGAAA
rnacentral:rRNA from 1 species